GGUUCCGCUCCGGGAAGCGGCCGGGAACGGGGCCGGUCCGGUCCGGUCCGGAUGGGCUCGGGGAGCCGCGGGGCGGGCGCGGAGCGCAGCCCAAGAAAGCUGGACCCUGGAGAUCUUCCCUCACUGACGUGGCUGUUCGGACACAGCCUUCUCCUCCUCCUGCUGCAAUAGCAAUGCUAGUGUCCCCAUGCAGCUGCAGUGAGGAGCUCUUGGCUUGGUCAGGAGUGAAUCCCCAGCUUGGCGUAGCAGCGCCAGUGGCUAUGGAGUGACCUGUGCUCCGGGUGCGUGGCUGAAGCGGCUGCCUGGGCACCGAAUGCGCCCGGCCCACGUGCUCCUCGCCUCUGCCAUGAAUGAUGCAUCGACGAUGGAUUAUGAACUGCUGUCCCCCUCCUUGGUUGAGCACCCAGCCGGCUCUGCGGGUAUGGAUGCUGAGCAGAAAACCGUCUUUGCCUUUGUCAUCUUCCUUCUGGUCUUCUUGGUGAUGCUGAUGGUGCGCUGCUUCCGCAUCCUGCUGGACCCCUACAGCCGCAUGCCCGCCUCCUCCUGGACUGACCACAAGGAGGGGUUGGAGAGGGGCCAGUUUGACUACGCCUUGGUGUAGAGGGCAGGGAUGGGGCGAGCCUGGGUGCUCUGUGUGCCUCCCACCCCGGCUGGCCCCGGCCCCGGCCCCCCCUUCCUCUGUGGUGUUGCCCUGGGCCAGCAAGGAUGCUCUGGGCAGGGAGGGGAGGUCAGGCUCUCGCCCGGGGUGGGUUUUCUAGGGGUUUCUCUCUUUUCUAAGCACUUUUCAGUUCUCUUUGCAGUCUGCAGGACUCUUGGAGAGAUAUGUUGGAGGGGGAGAUGUGGCUCUGCAUGGUCCCUGCUGCCCACCGUGGGACAGGGGCAGGAGGUGAUGGGGCAGGGCAUGGCGGGACCUGCCCUUGGCCACAGCCCACAGGGCUCCUGCUCUGGGUGGCUCUGCCUGGUGCCAGGCCAGAGCUUUGACCCCCACCUCCUCCUGCCCCCCCAUGUCACCCUCGUCUGUGUCCUCCGGGGAGUGCUGAUCGUGGUCCAGUGCGUGUGUGUGUGUGUCCCUGUAGCUGAGCUGUGUCUGUCAGGGGGUUUAUAGGCACCAGACCCAAGUGCUGGCUUUGUUCUUCUCUGUGUGGCAGCCCCAAGUGCCCCCCACCCCCAGUCCAUAAGUGAUGGGGAGAUGGAGAACCUCUCCCUCCACCAUGGAAAUAAAGCUGCACUGUGCUAACCCCA
rnacentral:lncRNA from 1 species